rnacentral:rRNA from 1 species
UACGAAGGGGGCUAGCGUUGCUCGGAAUCACUGGGCGUAAAGCGCACGUAGGCGGAUUGCUAAGUCAGGGGUGAAAUCCUGGAGCUCAACUCCAGAACUGCCCUUGAUACUGGCGGUCUCGAGUCCGGGAGAGGUGAGUGGAACUGCGAGUGUAGAGGUGAAAUUCGUAGAUAUUCGCAAGAACACCAGUGGCGAAGGCAGCCCCUGGCCG